rnacentral:rRNA from 1 species
CACGUAGGGUGCGAGCGUUGUCCGGAAUUAUUGGGCGUAAAGAGCUCGUAGGCGGUUUGUCGCGUCUGCUGUGAAAACCAGAGGCUCAACCUCUGGCCUGCAGUGGGUACGGGCAGACUUGAGUGCGGUAGGGGAGAAUGGAAUUCCUGGUGUAGCGGUGGAAUGCGCAGAUAUCAGGAGGAACACCGAUGGCGAAGGCAGUUCUCUGGGCCGUAACUGACGCUGAGGAGCGAAAGCGUGGGGAGCGAACAGG